rnacentral:rRNA from 1 species
AUUGAACGCUGGCGGCAGGCCUAACACAUGCAAGUCGAACGGUAACAGGAAGCAGCUUGCUGCUCUGCUGACGAGUGGCGGACGGGUGAGUAAUGUCUGGGAAACUGCCUGAUGGAGGGGGAUAACUACUGGAAACGGUAGCUAAUACCGCAUAACGACGCAAGACCAAAGAGGGGGACCUUCGGGCCUCUUGCCAUCGGAUGUGCCCGGAUGGGAUUAGCUAGUAGGUGGGGUAACGGCUCACCUAGGCGACGAUCCCUAGCUGGUCUGAGAGGAUGGCCAGCCACACUGGAAAUGAGACACGGUCCAGACUCCUACGGGAGGCAGCAGUGGGGAAUAUUGCACAAUGGGCGCAGGCCUGAUGCAGCCAUGCCGCGUGUAUGAAGAAGGCCUUCGGAUUGUAAAGUACUUUCAGCGGGGAGGAAGGCGACAGGGUUAAUAACCCUGUCGAUUGACGUUACCCGCAGAAGAAGCACCGGCUAACUCCGUGCCAGCCGCCGCGGUAA